CAGAAGAAGCACCGGCUAACUACGUGCCAGCAGCCGCGGUAAUACGUAGGGUGCGAGCGUUAUCCGGAAUUAUUGGGCGUAAAGAGCUCGUAGGCGGUUUGUCGCGUCUGUCGUGAAAGUCCGGGGCUUAACCCCGGAUCUGCGGUGGGUACGGGCAGACUAGAGUGCAGUAGGGGAGACUGGAAUUCCUGGUGUAGCGGUGGAAUGCGCAGAUAUCAGGAGGAACACCGAUGGCGAAGGCAGGUCUCUGGGCUGUAACUGACGCUGAGGAGCGAAAGCAUGGGGAGCGAACAGGAUUAGAUACCCUGGUAGUCCAUGCCGUAAACGUUGGGCACUAGGUGUGGGGACCAUUCCACGGUUUCCGCGCCGCAGCUAACGCAUUAAGUGCCCCGCCUGGGGAGUACGGCCGCAAGGCUAAAACUCAAAGGAAUUGACGGGGGCCCGCACAAGCGGCGGAGCAUGCGGAUUAAUUCGAUGCAACGCGAAGAACCUUACCAAGGCUUGACAUGUUCUCGAUCGCCGUAGAGAUACGGUUUCCCCUUUGGGGCGGGUUCACAGGUGGUGCAUGGUUGUCGUCAGCUCGUGUCGUGAGAUGUUGGGUUAAGUCCCGCAACGAGCGCAACCCUCGUUCCAUGUUGCCAGCACGUCGUGGUGGGGACUCAUGGGAGACUGCCGGGGUCAACUCGGAGGAAGGUGAGGACGACGUCAAAUCAUCAUGCCCCUUAUGUCUUGGGCUUCACGCAUGCUACAAUGGCCGGUACAAUGGGUUGCGAUACUGUGAGGUGGAGCUAAUCCCAAAAAGCCGGUCUCAGUUCGGAUUGGGGUCUGCAACUCGACCCCAUGAAGUCGGAGUCGCUAGUAAUCGCAGAUCAGCAACGCUGCGGUGAAUACGUUCCCGGGCCUUGUACACACCGCCCGUCAAGUCACGAAAGUUGGUAACACCCGAAGCCGGUG
rnacentral:rRNA from 1 species